CAGAGGGAGUUCAUUUUUCUUUUAAUUAGUUAAAUCCUUAUCUUCUACAAUAAUCAUUUGCAGGAUGGGGAACAAACGAGGCAUUAAUCAUCAAUUAGAUUUUGGCUCACAGGAAUGCCUCGCAGCAUAAACUUAUUCAAGAAACUUAUGCUGCAACUUAUGGAGAAGAUCUGCUCAAAGCUUUGGACAAAGAACUGUCAAGUGAUUUUGAGCUCUUGGUCCCUCUUGUUAGUUAAUUCAGGUAUGAGGGCGAUGAGGUGAAUAUGACUUUGGCCAAAUCAGAGGCUAAGCAUCUGCAGGAGAAGAUAUCUGAGAAGUGCUGCAACGAUGAGGAGAUAAUCAGGAUCUUGACUACAAGGAGCAAAGCCCAGCUCAAUGCAACCCUCAAUCACUACAACAAUCAACUGGAAAUGCUAUUAACAAGGGCCAUCCUAGAAUUGAUGAAUGUAGUUGUCAACUGGAGUAGAACAUUAUUUAGAAUGCGCGCGCAGCUGGAAAGAUCAGCUAAGCAUGACCUACAAGUCGUUUUCCCUCUCUAUUACCUACUUGAUUCCAGACUAUCCAGUUGAUAAUGAUUCCCUUCCCAAUGGAAUGAAACUACAAACCAUGGAAUAACAUGUACGAAUAAGAGGUAAAAGCUGAUCCUUUCUUCUCCGUAAUGGAUCCUAAGUACGUUACUCUCCCUCAGGCUCUUUGAUUUUUGUAUACUUUUCCUUUCGGAUGUGUCACUCAAUUGUUUAAAUUCCACAAUUUUCUCAAAAUAAUAAUCUUUAUAAUAUCAAAACCCCAACCACAUGCCGCUUUUUACUUUUUCAGGAUCCGAUCAUUUUAUCAUUAUUUUAUAUAUUUUUAUACAUUUUUCUUAGUAUUUGUGUCCAAUCCAAACAUAUCAGACUUAGGAGAGUAAACCGAUAACCAUAUCUCAAUAUCAUCAGUACUGAGAUCACAUCAAACAAAUUAUUACAUUUGAAUAUCAUUGGUGUUAAGAUCACACCGAAAAACAAUCGGUAUCGAUAAAACACGAUUAUGCAAAACAAAUAGCACAAAUUUCCCGACAUCGAUAAGUUCUAAGGAAUUAUCAACUACAGUUUCGUUAUGUGAUCUAUUUUUCUCUCCAUUGCGUUUUUCUUUAUUUCAGCACCCCUUUUCACCAAGCACUACAUGAAACUCAAGACACAUACUCCCUCCGUCCCCCUCAAUUCUUUACAUUAGAGGGGGACACGGAGACCAAGACAAUGUAUGAAAAAUGAGUAAAGUUAGAUAAAAAGUGGGUAAAGUGGUGGGACAUAUCAAUAUUUAAUGAUAGAUUUGAGAUAGUGGAGGAAAGUAGUGGGUGUAAUAGUAGUUUUUAUUGUUAAAUAUGUGAUAGUAGAGGAAGAUAGUGAGUGUAAUGAUGGGAAAAACUUACUAUUUAUAGUAACGUAAAGAAAUGAGAGGGACAUCUCAAAAUAGUAACCGUAAAGAAAUGAGAGGGACAGAGGGAGUACUAUUAUAUUUACAUGAAUCAUUUAGUCAGCGUGUAUUCAAAAUCAUGGCCGGCUAACUUGGGGCCAAAGCAAUUACAGAACCUCACGUUAAAAGCGAUCUGAAAUUAGUUUCCUAUACAUAAUUCAAAGAGAAAAAGAUCGAGAGAGAGGGGCAAUUAAGAAGAUGGGUUUGUCACAUGAUGCUGCUCCGACUUUCAAAUCUUAUGGGGUUCCUCAUGUCUCAACGAGUAUGCCUUUUUAUUACAAUUAUUUACAAUAUUCUUUCUUUUUCUCAUGAUUUUGAGUGGAAUUGCGAAAGGUGUUGAAUUUAAUCUUAUUUGUUUGUGUGUAUUUGUUUGUUUGUUUAAUCCCUGUGUUUUGUUUGGUUUUUGAUGUUUUUGGCGAUUUUUCGUGUUACAUGUGAUACGCUUCGUUGUUCGCUUUGCAUACGACGAGGCAACUUGAUCGAUAGCAUAGCGGUGGUGGCCGAUGGUGGCGGUGACGGCGGUUUCAGGACGGGAUCCAGAUCCGGUUUCAGAAAGGAAAGCGCGCUAAUUGUGCCUUAAUUGAGGGCGGAUUCUUGGAAGAAGGCCGGUUUUCUUUUCGGACAUUAAAGUUUUAUUGUCUAAAUUUCCCCGGUCAUCUUGCAUGUCCGACGGUUAGGUAAUAAGUUUUCUUGAAUGAAAGAAUUAUCACGGUGAAUUGCCGAUUCUUGUUGAGAUUUAUUCUCAUUUUCAAAAAAAAAAGAUAAAAAAAAAAUUUCCCGACAUCGAUUGUAUAUACAAAUAGUAAAAGAGGAUCUGCCGUUGACUAUAAUAAAGUGGUAGCAAAACCGCGUGUGCUUGGCAAUAGAGCAUUUUAUUA